ensembl:lncRNA
CCUCGCCUCAGUCUCACACUCUCAGCUGGAGAGGAUUCUGCUCCCAGCUGCCCUGGAUAUGCAUCAUGCGCCCAGCGUCUCCUCCCAUCUACACCCCAGCAAGAAGGACGAGCUUUCUGAAGUGAGUCCAGCACUGUCCGGAGCCCCUGAGACUCAGAGAAAUUCGUAAUACAUUUCACGUCACACCCACCUGCUCUCCGCUGGGCCAGACGAGAGGGAGUGACAAGCUUUGGGAUUGAACUCAGGACCUUGAGCUUUUGAAGCAAGCGGCAGAACCACUGAGCUAAACCCCUGGCCCUCUGGUUCUUUUGAGUACUGGAGAUUGAACUCAGGACCUUGUGCUUGCCAAGCAGAUUCUUCUUACAGAAAUCACUGAAUUCAGGGCAAGAAACUCUGUGGAUAUUGGGUGUCCUCUCUGAAACCAUGCCUUUUCUUAGAACUUCUGACUCAGUUGGGGCUUCUUGAUUUAUAUUGAAAAGAAUGAGCAUAGCUUCCUUCCUGUCACAAUUACCACUGACUGGUCUGGGCCUCCGCCAAAAAGGACUAGCAGAGAUGAAUCUGGUCGGGGCCACUGGCUCAGAAGAAAGAAGCAUAAGAAUACCUGAGACCGAUAUAGGCAGUGAUAGCAGUGAAGUGCAGCAGUGACAUCCUUCAGUGCCUGAGCUGGAUGGAGAGCUGGUUCACAAGUGGAG